UACGUAGGGUGCAAGCGUUAUCCGGAAUUAUUGGGCGUAAAGAGCUCGUAGGCGGUCUGUCACGUCUGCUGUGAAAACUGGAGGCUCAACCUCCAGCCUGCAGUGGGUACGGGCAGACUAGAGUGCGGUAGGGGAGAUUGGAAUUCCUGGUGUAGCGGUGGAAUGCGCAGAUAUCAGGAGGAACACCGAUGGCGAAGGCAGAUCUCUGGGCCGUAACUGACGCUGAGGAGCGAAAGCAUGGGGAGCGAACAGG
rnacentral:rRNA from 1 species